UGGGGAAUAUUGGACAAUGGGCGAAAGCCUGAUCCAGCCAUGCCGCGUGUGUGAAGAAGGCCUUUUGGUUGUAAAGCACUUUAAGUGGGGAGGAAAAGCUUGUGGUUAAUACCCAUAAGCCCUGACGUUAUCCACAGAAUAAGCACCGGCUAACUCUGUGCCAGCAGCCGCGGUAAUACAGAGGGUGCAAGCGUUAAUCGGAAUUACUGGGCGUAAAGCGCGCGUAGGUGGUUAUUUAAGUCAGAUGUGAAAGCCCCGGGCUUAACCUGGGAACUGCAUCUGAUACUGGAUAACUAGAGUAGGUGAGAGGGGAGUAGAAUUCCAGGUGUAGCGGUGAAAUGCGUAGAGAUCUGGAGGAAUACCGAUGGCGAAGGCAGCUCCCUGGCAUCAUACUGACACUGAGGUGCGAAAGCGUGGGUAGCAAACAGGAUUAGAUACCCUGGUAGUCCACGCCGUAAACGAUGUCUACCAGUCGUUGGGUCUUUUAAAGACUUAGUGACGCAGUUAACGCAAUAAGUAGACCGCCUGGGGAGUACGGCCGCAAGGUUA
rnacentral:rRNA from 1 species